rnacentral:rRNA from 1 species
UACAGAGACUGCAAGCGUUAUUCGGAUUCACUGGGCGUAAAGGGUGCGCAGGCGGCCGGGUGUGUCAGAUGUGAAAUCUCGGAGCUUAACUCCGAAACUGCAUUCGAUACUGCCGUGCUUGAGGACUGGAGAGGAGACUGGAAUUUACGGUGUAGCGGUGAAAUGCGUAGAUAUCGUAAGGAAGACCAGUGGCGAAGGCGGGUCUCUGGACAGUUCCUGACGCUGAGGCACGAAGGCCAGGGGAGCAAACGGG